rnacentral:rRNA from 1 species
UUUUAGUUGAGUGUGAGUGUUAUAAGGAGAGGUGAUUAUUAUUGUCUUAGAGGGAGUAGAAAUAAGGAGAUUUCUACCUUUUGUAUAAGGGGAUUAGGAUAAGAAAUUUAGAGGUUUUCCCCAAACUUCAAGAUAUUUAGAAAUUACGUUAUAUGAAAAUAUAAAUUUAAUUUCUAAAGUAGUGAAAUGUUUUCGGUUGAAGUAUAUGUGGAAUAGGGUUAACAGGUAAGCUGUGUUAUCUUUUGUGGGCUAUUAUAUUUAGUAAUUAAUUAUAAUAAAUAUUGUUAUUAUAAUUUUAGAGGGUUUAGAAUAUUUUAGCUUGAAAAGUGGAGACCUACGGAAUUUAGUGGGGACUAGAAUUUAAUUAUAAGUAGAGUUAAAGGAAGGAGUUUAAGAAAGGUGAUUUACUUUAUAGACUUGAAAGAUAAGCAACUGUUUAUUAAAAACAUUUCUCAUAUUUUUAUGAGUAUUUCCUGCUCAAUGAUGGAAGUUAAAUGGCCGCUGUAAGUUGACUGUGCUAAGGUAGCAUAAUAAUUAGGCUAUUGAUUGUGGUCUGGUAUGAAGGGGAGAAUGUCUUAUUGGUAGUAUUAAGUAGAAGAGGAAAUUGUUGAUAAGUGAAAAUACUUGUGAGAUAAAAAGACGGAAAGACCCCAGAAGCUUUAUAAUAAUCAUUGUUAUUUUAUUGGGGCAAUAGGUGGGAGUUUAGAUUCCAUUUUGUUUAGUUACUCUGGGGAUAACAGGGUAAUCACAUAAAUUAGUGUGGAUUACUACCUCGAUGUUGAAUCAUCCUUUAAUUAGUCUGUUCGACUUUUGAUGGUUACGUGAUUUGAGUUUAGAUCGGCGUAAGCCAGAUCGGUUCUUAUCUUAUAGGGGGUCUUUAUAGUACGAGAGGGGAUAGAGGCCAUAAUAAUUAUGUUU